GGAGGGUGCAAGCGUUAUCCGGAUUCACUGGGUUUAAAGGGUGCGUAGGCGGGUUGGUAAGUCCGUGGUGAAAUCUCCAAGCUUAACUUGGAAACUGCCAUGGAUACUAUUAAUCUUGAAUGUUGUGGAGGUUAGCGGAAUAUGUCAUGUAGCGGUGAAAUGCAUAGAUAUGACAUAGAACACCAAUUGCGAAGGCAGCUGGCUACACAAAUAUUGACGCUGAGGCACGAAAGCGUGGGGAUCAAACAGGAUUAGAUACCCUGGUAGUCCACGCCCUAAACGAUGAUUACUCGACAUUUGCGAUACACAGCAAGUGUCUGAGCGAAAGCAUUAAGUAAUCCACCUGGAAGUACGACCGCAAGGUUG
rnacentral:rRNA from 1 species